rnacentral:rRNA from 1 species
GAAUUUUCGGCAAUGGACGAAAGUCUGACCGAGCAAUGCCGCGUGAACGAUGAAGGUCUUCGGAUCGUAAAGUUCUGUUGUUAGGGAAGAAUGGUAUAACUAGGAUAUGAGUUAUAAAGUGACGGUACCUAACUAGAAAGCCCUGGCUAACUAUGUGCCAGCAGCAGCGGUAAUACAUAGGGGGCAAGCGUUAUCCGGAAUUAUUGGGCGUAAAGCGUGCGUAGGCGGUUUAUUAAGUCUGAUGUGAAAGCCCACGGCUCAACCGUGGAAGGUCAUUGGAAACUGGGGAACUUGAAUGCAGAAGAGGAGAGUGGAAUUCCAUGUGUAGCGGUGAAAUGCGUAGAUAUAUGGAGGAACACCAGUGGCGAAGGCGACUCUCUGGUCUGUUAUUGACACUGAGGCUCGAAAGCGUGGGGAGCAAACA